CAAGGAAUAGUUUAAGUAGAAUAUCAGCUUUGGGUGCUGAUGGUGGAGCUGGAGGUUUCUUCCUUGA
rnacentral:tRNA from 1 species